CCUGGACCUGUCUGGGGACGGACGUGACCUCAGAUCAUGCUUGGUUCAGCCCUCCUGUCCGCACAUUACUGGAGUAUGACUCUCACCGGGGGGGGGACUGUCCCUGCGACGUCUUACUGAGAGUUGCUCAGGUCAAGGCCAUUUACUACGCGUUGUAAAGGUUCCAGUAAACUCACUUCCUGUGCUUUAGAAUUUUAUUCUCUUAACGCUUAGAAUGGAAAACAACCCGCGCGCCCCAACAUUCUACACCCGGGAUCCUUGCACGCCGGACAGACCUCCGUCCACAACGCCGACUUUCUGCAGGGGACGCAUGGACCCGGGGACGGAGAGUUACGAGCAGGGACAGUGGGGCGGGGAGGAAGAUCGUCCGCAUGAAUUAAAAAAAAAAAUGUUCCGUUCAUCCAUCAUAACAGUUUACAGAGCGCAUUGUGUAGACUGGCACUUAGGACCUACACACUGUCAAGGGAACAGUAAACACACACACACACAUAUACACACACACACACGCACACACACACAUAUACACACACACAUACAAACACACACACACGCACACACACACAUAUACACACACACACACGCACACACACACAUAUACACACACACAUACAAACACACACACACGCACACACACACACACAUAUACACACACAUACACACACACACAUAUAUACACACACACAAACACACACACACGUACACACACACACACACACUAUACACACACACACAUCCAACACACACACGCACACACACACACACAUACACACACACACACACAUAUACACACACACAUACAAACACACACACGCACACACACACAUACAAACACACACACACGCACACACACACACACACACAUAUACACACGUACACACACACACAUAUACACACACACGCACACACACACAUAUACACACACAUACAAACACACACACACACACACCACACACACACACACAUACAAACACACGCACACACACACAUAUACACACACACAUACAAACACACGCACACACACAUAUACACACACACAUACAAACACACACGCACGCGCACACACACACACACAAACACACACACGUACACACCCACACACACGUACACAUACACACAAACAAACACACACACGCACACACACACAUAUACACACACACAUACAAACACACACGCACGCACACACACACAUACACGCACAUACACACACAUAUGUGUGUGUGUGUGUGGGGCAGUGGUGGCCUAGCGGUUAAGGAAGUUGCCCCGUAAUCAGAAGGUUGCUGGUUCGAAUCCCGAUCUGCUAAGG
ensembl:lncRNA